GUAACAAUGUUCUAUGCUUAAUAUCCAUCCAGUAGCCAGGCCAUGGGAUAGAGGACUGGGUGUAGGAUCUUUCCCUAGGCCUGCGACAACAGUUACCAGCAGUAGCGCCUCUGAACAGCCAGGAACCAGAACUGUCUGGGCCAGGUUGGGAAAUUAAAAUCAGUCUUACUGAGAUCUGUUUGAUCUUGCAGAGCAAACUGCAAAUAGAGCGACACAGGCAAAGUCUACAAUAAGCCUCCCUAUCUACAGGAUCAGAAAGGCACCCGUCAGGGAGCCCAGGCUCAGUUCUCCUUGUAAAUAGAAGCUGUGGCACUUUGUCAUCUUGUCUCACAAACAGGUCUAUUUGAGAAUGGCGCUCCUCUGAGAAGAUGUCAUGGAGAAUGAGGUGUUCAACUUUUCAAUUUGAUAAGCAUCCACUACUGUGUUCUGCAGACCAAGCAAGUGGACAAGCGAGAAAUCUGAUUUCUGAUUCACCAGUUCCAAAACAUGACAGCUUCCUGACACAAUGGGGAAGACUUGACCCUUCCCUCACUUGUUGAUCUGGCACAUGGUAACAUACAACCCGUUCGGAGUUUGUGCUCUGUUGCUGGACAGUUUGCCCUGAGGUUGGCACUCACACUUGUGAGCUGCUCCAGACAGCCUGACAGAGAGAACUUCUGCUUCAUCCAGAAAGGAGAAUGACAAGACUGCUGGAUUCCAAACUAACUUACUUCGCAAAGACAAAAGUGUCAUCACAGAGAGGUGAGUGAAGAACUUAAACACAGCAGCAAUCAAAAAAGCAAACAAAAAUGUUAGGAUACAGAGGGAGUGGAACUGAUAAUAUACUAUUACAUGAGUCACAGACAUGCCCCCACCAGGUAAUAGUGUGUUUAGUUCUAGUCACUUUAUCUCAAAAAAGGAUAUAGAUGAAAUAGAGAGGUUUGAAACAGGUUAUUAGAAGCACAGAAAGACUUCCAUAUGAAGACACUACCUCGUUUAGAGAGGAGAUUAAUAAGAGGGGACACAAGAGUAGUAUGUACAUUAAUGAACAGUAUAAAGAAGGUAAACUGGAUGUUACACAGGUGAGCUGAUGAGAAGCGCAGAAGAAAAGAGGAAGUUUUUUUGCUCGAUGGUUGACAUUACUCAAGUGUCUACUGAAGAAAGAUUUGGACAAAUGAAGUACCACAAAAAGACCUGGGAUUUUUUGUAUAACCUUAGUAAGCUACCAACAGGAGCUUACCAACAGCAGACAGGAACAUACUCGAACAAUUAUAUAGACCUUCACUGGACACUAACACAUGGGGAAUGUUUGGACGUCAAUGACAAAGACCUCGGUCAAACUGGACAACAUCCAUCACAUUUUGCCACAUAGGAAGCCCUCUCCACUCCAAGUUUUCCAAUUCAUUCAUGAUGCAGAGCUGAAGGACACUUUUCCAAAUGCAUAGAUAGCUUUGAUAUUCUGCUCAUGCUGCCAGCCACAGCCGUGAGUGAUAAGCGCAGCUUUACAAAGCUCAGUCUCUUUAAAACAAAUCUUCGAUCAACAAUGGCUGACGAGAGACUGACAUAGCUUGCUAUUUUAUCGCUUGAAAAUUCCACUGGCCAGUCUUUGGAUCUCUCUGACGCUGUGCUUCACUUCACGAGGGCAAAGGUGAGAAAAGCGACCUUUUGAACUAAAGAACUAGGGAUAACAUUCUAAGGCUGUCACCUACUGUAACACUAUUUAAUACUGGUACACCCAAUGUUGGUGCACAGUUCAAUUUCUUCAUGUUAGUACAUUUCAGUUAUUCUGAAAUUUAAAAGUUUGUAUAAGCUUAGAGAAAACAAAAUUUUUAUUUGCUUAUAUAU